GAUCUCACUUUGUUGCCCAGG
rnacentral:miRNA from 1 species